GCUGCUCCCAGUUGUGCUCUCUUCUUUGCAAUUAGUGGUGGCAUCUGUUGACCCGGAAAUGGUUGCUCCUGCUUCUGCCCGGUCUGGACGGCGUCGUCUCUCCGUCGAGCUGCCUCCAGGGGCGUACCGGGGAGGGGCUGCGUCGAGCCGUCGUGUCCAUCUCGCCGCCCAGAUCCCCUCGCCAUCCCGCAGGUCCAGCCCAACCACGACACAGCCGAUGUCCAGCGGGCCUCGCCGUUAUGGCCAUCUUCACGCCGUUGGGUCCUCCGCGCUGCCGAUGCCUAGGCCGACCCAACGUGCGCCGCCCGCACCCGGCGCGCGACGGCUGGGGGCUCCGCCGCCCACGAUAGCGAGCAUGCCCCAGUCUGGCUCACCAUGCGCCAUCUUCCCCAACGGCAUGAGGGUGGCCACCCCAGGACCUACCUGGCGGACGAGAUUGGGACGGGUCCAAGGUUCUUCGCCGAAGUCCAUGGCUUCACGAGCCCAACGAGCAGAAACAGGCAUCCAUGGAGGGAUCCUCGAUACGCCACCCGAUGCUCCCUCCCUCUUCUUUCACGUCUCUGGCUACGCUGAAGGAAGGGCUCGAGCCGAGAGCGCUGCCCCCGUCGGUCUCUAGCUCCCCAGCUGGUCUCCGCUAUCCGGUGUCACUAUCUGAUCCUCGCAGGCCCUCUUCCCCUCCUCUGUUCUCUAACAAAAACAUUGUUGGUUUGCAAGUCUGCCGCAUGUAUACGAGUACGAGCAAUGGAUGUUUGUGAAGGCUAUGAGAUACUGGAAAAUCGAGGAGCUAAUUGUUUGGGUCACUUGACUGAAUUGUAACUGCACCAUUUGAGGCGAUUUUGCCCUGGUUUGGCUGGGUGGUGAGGUAGUUUAUGAGGAGUUUCUGAUUUGGUGGAAGAUUGGGGCAUUUGCAUAUGGUUGGGAUUGAGGAGGAUUGUGCUGCCGGAGUGGGGAGCAGGAGAGCAGCCGUUGGAUCAUGGAUUUUUUCCCCGAGCAGAAUGUGGACUUACUACCUAUAUAUUAAAGAUUCGGCAGUUGGAAGCUGAUGUAACACGUUAGAAGUUCUCCACUCCUCCAUAAAUGGAUUACAUGAUCAACCUGCAAUGUUAAGUUCAUGCUUAUAGACGAUCUAGGUUCAGAUUGUGAAGUAGGAGCACUCAAAUUGUGAAGUUACUGAAACAAUACCAUGUGUUCGUGACACUUUCUCUGCUUCUUCAAGUGAAGUUGAUGACAAAGGUAACCACAACUGACAUACGAUUCUAAUAGUCAAAAUUGUGCUCUGCUAUUGUGCUCUUUGUUCCAUCUGGAAAUUUAAUUAUACCCUUUCAAAUUUAAAUUUCUGAACGCGGAGAGGAGACAAUUUUCAGGUGCUUAUGAGACGGAAGUUAAACGAGAUGGGACAAGAAAAGAAGGUUUUUCAGGUUUUACUUGUUUAAAUUUGCUGAUUCAUUAAUUUUUAAGAAACAUCAUUGCAUAAGUAAGAUUUACUUGCUAUCCAUUGGAAUCAAAAAAUUGAGCGGAGAUAUGAUUUUAUUGUUCAUGUUCUUUAUUUCUAUUUGUAUUGAGGUUCAUGCUUGAAUAUAUCAUGUUGUGGUACUGUCUGAUCCAUGCAUACUUUUUUCUUUCAGUUUUUUUAUUGAUAGGCAACAUCAUAAUUUUUUUGUAUCGUAAACCUCUAUGGGGUUGGUGAAUCUGCGUUCAUUGGAUGAUCUCUUCUUUCAUAUUAAUAAGAAUGAUCCUUUCUUUAGUAUAGCAAGACCGAAUCUGGUUAGGUUGCGUGUGAAAUUGCCCGACAUAGAAUGCACUCUAUACACCAAUUAUCUACUUCCAUUUUCAUUGGCAUGAAGUCUGCCAUUAACAUACAUUUUUGUUAACAUAUGUUUAAGUAAAUGCGGGAACAACCACACUCUUGAUAAUUAACUUUGUCAUUUGUUUCAGACUACAGAAGUUACAAAUAAUGUUACCCAGAUGUUUUGUAAUGCUCAAGUUAAGAUUCUGACGGGUAAUAAUUACCAUUCCUCAAAAUCUGGCAACUAUCGGUGCAGUUGCAAAUAAAAUAACCAAUGACGGUUUCCUCAACGGAAUCAUAUUUCAAAUGUAUAGUCUGAAACAGUUCUUCAGCUCAAAAACUAAGGAAGGCUAUUUUAAUUCUCACAACUUCUCCCAAGUUGGACAAUGGAUUUUUAUUUCUUCUGCCAGUACUUCUGUUUUCACUGCACCUACAGGGUGCACACAAGUCUGAACAAGAAUGACCUAGAUGAUUAAUGCAUUUUCCUAUUAUAUAUAAACAUAUAUUUCUAAAAUAAAUCCCAGUCUAUAUGAAAUGCUAAUGAGAUCUUGUGCUGUAAAUACAUUCUAAAAUCUCUUCAAACUGAGACUUCCUUCAGAGUUUUGUAGUACUUUCUAUGGUUGCAGUGCACUGAUCUUAUGGAAGAAACCAUUAAUGAUUGUAUCGAGCGAAACGCUGGCCCUUUUCCUUUCAACUACCGGACAACUAUAAACUCAAACUAUGCUGCUUAGCUGUGCUAUAAUAUGAUAACUCUGAACAAUUGAUUUGCAGUCAAGUAGCACCAGACGCCAUGUUCAUCAUUUUUGCUAGACAAAAUGCAGAAGAUUUAAUUUCCCUUCUCUGCAUCCUGCCCUGCCUCCUCUUCCACUUGAAGCUCCUCUGCAGCCAUGGUGAUGGCGGUGCGCCUCUGUUACUGCAAAACCGCCAACCUCGAGGUAUACAACAGCAGCCACUGUGUUUUGCAAAUGAAGCCACCAGGGCUUGGCAGGCCAUGCCCAUCGUGCCGCGUAUUGUCAAAGUUGCUGCCACUACCACUGUUUACUUGGCCAAGGUCAAACUACAGCCACGAUAUCAGAUGGUUCCACGUGUGCUUUUGUUUGCCCUGUAGUUAAAUCAAGUGUUCUCUCUUUUGCUGGCUACUAAGAACCAGCUCGAGUGAUGGCGGCCACGAUGGCAUGGUGUUUUUCUCCAUUAAAAGCAGUAAGUGUAUUCUGUUUGAGAGUGACCAUGUAUGUUAUCAGGAUGUAGUUAAUGACAUGGUUAGUUUCAUGUUAUUUGUAUAAAUUUGUAUCUUGAUGACACGCAGAAAAAAGAUGUGUAAACCACAAA